rnacentral:lncRNA from 1 species
UUUUUUAUUACUCAAAUGAAUUUAUCACAUCUGUACUUGUAUAAUGAUCAUAAAAAUCUGAUUUCACAGGACUUCCAUCCCACACCCCAAGCACAUCCUCCCACCCCCCAAACUGUCUCCUCCAGAGACCAUAAGUUUUUCCAUGUUUGUGAGUCAGCAUUUGUUCUGCAAAAAAGUUCAGUCUGUCCUUUUUUCAGAUUCCACAUGUCAGUGAAAGCAUUGGAUGUUGGCGUCUCAUUAUAUGGCUGACUUCACUUAGCAUGAUAGUUUCUAGGUCCAUCCAUGUUGAUAAAAAUGCUGGUAUUUUGUUCUUUUUGAUGACUGAGUAAUAUUCCAUUGUGUAUAUGUAUCACCUCUUCUUGAUCCACUCCUCUGUCGAUGGACAUUUAGGUUGUUUCCAUGUCUUGGCUAGUGAAAAUAGUGCUGCAAUGAACAUCAGACUACAGGUGUCUUUGCGAGUUGUGGUUUUCUCUGGAUAGAUGCUCAGGAGUGGGAUUGCUGGAACAAAGGGUAGUUCUAUGUUUAGUUUUCUGAGGACUCUCCAUACUGUUUUCCACAGUGGUUGCACCAAUUUACAAUCCCACCAACAGUUGUACUGGGGUUCCUUUUUCUCCACACCCUCUCCAGCACUUAUUGUUUGUAGACUUUUGGAUGAUGGCCAUUCUGGCUGGUGUAAGGUGGUACCUCAUCGUGGUUUUGAUUUGCAUCUCUCUAAUAAUGAGUGAUGUUGAGCAUCUUUUCAUGUGUUUUUUGGCCAUCUGCAUGUCUUCUUUGGAGCAUUGUCUGUUUAGAUCUUCUGCCCAUUUUUUGAUGGGGUUGUUUGGGGUUUUUUUUGGUAUUGGGCUACAGAAGGUGUUUAUAAAUUUUGGAGAUCAAUCCCUUGUCAGUUGAAUCACUUGCAAAUAUUUUCUCCCAUUCUGUGGGUUGUCUUUUCAUUUUUCUUCCAAUUUCCUUUGCUGUGCAGAAACUUUGUAGUUUGAUUAGGUCCCAUUUGUUUAUUUUUGCCUUUAUUUGCAAUACUCUUAAGAGGUGGAUCUGAGAAGAUGUUGAUGUCAUUUAUGUCAGAGAGUGUUUGGCCUAUGUUUUUCCCUAAGAGUUUUGUAGUGUCUGGUCUUAUAUCUAGGUCUUUAAUCCAUUUAGCGUUUCUUUUUGUGUAUGGUGUUAGGGAGUGUUCUAAUUUCCUUCUUUUCCAUGUGGCUGUCCAGUUUUCCCAGCACCACUUAUUGAAGAGUAUGUCUUUUCUCCGUUGUAUAUUCUUGCCUCCUUUGUCAUAGAUGAGUUGGCUGUAGGUGCAUGGGUUUAAUUCUAGGCUUUCUAUCCUGUUCCACUGAUCUAUAUGUCUGUCUUUGUGCCAGUACCAUAUGGUUUUGAUGACUGUUGCUUUGUAGUAUAGUCUGAAGUCCGGGAGCCUGAUUCCUCCAGCUCCAUUUUUCUUUUUCAGGAUGUCUUUGGCUCUUCUGGGUCUUUUGUGCUUCCAAACAAACUUUUAAAUCUUUUGUUAGAGUUCUGUGAAAAAUGUCCUUGGUAAUUUGAUAGGGAUUGCAUUGAUUCUGUAGUUUGCCUUGGGUAG